CUGCUGCUGGUGGUGGUGGUAGUUCUGCUGCUAGUGGUGCUGCUGGUGCUGGUGCUAGUGGUGGUGCUACUUGUGCUGCUGCUGCUGGUGGUGGUGCUAGUGGUGCUGCUGGUGGUGGUGCUGCUGCUGGCAGUGGUGCUAGUGAUGCUGGUGCUAGUGUUGCUGCUGGUGGUGCUGUUGGUAGUGGUGCUGGGUCCUGGGAAGCUUGGGUGGCCCAAACAGGCCACAAAUGAGGUGGCUGAUAUUGAGCAGGCUGUUAGCCAUGGGGGAAAAAGGGCCACAGAAGCCCAUGGCUGACAGCCUCAGGCAGGUUGUGAACCAGAUAUCUAAAGGAAGGAGGUGGUUUUUGCUAGGAGGUGCUACGCUCCGAGGAGGAGAUGGCAUGCUGGUCUGCAGCUGAUGGCUGAGUCUUGUGGGGUGCUGUUAGGAGCCCACCUCAGGAGCUGCCUUGAGGAGCUGCUGGGCAGGGCUGCCUGCACUAUGCCCUCUAGAGACCUGCCCAGCAAAAGCAACCAGGAGCUUGGCCUGGCCUACGACUGGUCCAGCAUCUGUAGGACUGGGUGGUUAGAGGAAUUUCUGGCUCACAGGUGGCAGCCAUUGUAUUUAAUAAAUAUCCCAUCAACCUUUCUGUGCAAAUACUUAUGUUCUGUUAUUCUUUGGUGUCAGUGGCAUCUGGUGGCAAUGAGUUCCACAGUUUCAUCUAGUGUUAAAGGAACAAAAAGUUCGUUUCAAUUGCUCUAAAAAUGUCAGCUGAUAAUUAUGGCUGGCACCUCCUAAUUCUCGUGUUAUGAGAGAGUGAAUAACUUCUGUAUUCACCUUUUUGACACAAUUACUGAUUUUGCCAAUCUCUACCAUAUUCUCCCCAGUUUUUUUCUUUUUUUCUUUUCACGCUGGAGAAAAUAUGUUCCUUUAAUCUCCCCCAUGUGGAAUCCAUUCUGACUCUGGCCAUUCUGGUCCUCUGCUCUGCAGCUCUGUAGUUGAGUGAUUCACUUUUUGAGACUGGAAGGACUGCAUGGAAACAGCAUAUGAGACUGCUCUGUGCUGAGUGCUUUUUAAAACUGGUUUUAGCUGUCCAAGCAUAAACUGUUUUUGCUCUUGUAGUGUGGUCAAGUACAUGAAAAUCUAAUACUGAAUGUUUUGAAAACUUAAAAGCUCUAAACUUUCUAAACUCAUCCCAGAAACUUGAAAUCCUCCAUGUCAUUGUGAAAGACCUAGAGCUGAUGUCAAACUUUGCAAACAUUCAUUUUCAUUGAUCAAAUAGAUAUGUUUCUAUAGUGUUCAUAAUGAAAACUUUUGAACUCUGAGUUGACUGAAACUUGAGGUAGAAGCAGCAGGAGACAAAUAAAAUGAGCCUACAAUAUAAGAUUAAAAGAUCUUGUAACUUUUGAAGCCAGUCCUGUGAUUAUUAUUAUUAUUACUAUAUUCAGGAACUGCUUAUGCUUCAGUUUGAUAUUGCUGCAGUUUGGCCCCGUGUGACUUCCCUAAGCUCCAGAGGGGCACUGAAUCAAAUGAGAGAUUGGAAGUGAGAGAGCCACUUGGUUUUCUGUACAGCCCUCCGGGCAGGUAGCUCACGCUUUGAGAAUGAAUAGUUGCUACCUAUUGCCUUGCAGUUUGUUGAUUCACAGUUCCUACAUGAAACCAUCUAUAAAUAUUAGUCUGUGUAAUUUGUAGUGAUAUUAAACAAAGUGAUGAGAAUCCUACUUAAGGAGAAAAAAUUGAUAGCUUUCCAUAUGGUUCCAAAAGCUUAACACUAAUAGUUGUUAGCACAGUAUAGGAACAGCACAGUUCUGACUCAAUUUAUCCAUAACAAUGAAGACUCGGUGAAACAUUAAUUUUCCAAAAUUACAGAAUAUUUUAAUGUGAUUCUAAUUGUGCCUUUGUGCUUUUAACUUAUUAACAUUGUUAUAACAAAUUAUAACUCAUUGCAACUGACUGCUUUAGAUACGAAAAAACUAAGCUGGUAUGCUGGUAUCUUGAUAUAAAGAUGGUCUCUGUAUAAUGCAAUCAUAGUGUAUCCAUUCUGAUUUAUUUGGAGUAACUUAUGCUAAUUUUGGUGUUUCUGUUGCAUUGGUGUUGUGAUGCUUUUACAUCUCAGGCUCUGUUUUUUAUGUAGUCACAUCUUAUAUGUUUACAAUGCGUUUUCUUAGGGAGCAACAUCUAGACUCAGGACAGCCAGGAGAGCUGGGUCUUGCACAAAGAGGACACAGCAAACUACCGAUCUAUGCCAGUAUAUUGUCACAUAAUUCUCAGAGUAUUGCUGGAGCAUCAUUAUGUGACAUGGGGAGCAAGGAGAAUUGGACAAGUGUUCUGCAGAGAAUGUGAUGAAAAGCUUUUAUUGAAAAGAUGAUUUCACGAGAGAAAAAUGAUAAUAUCAACUCGGGUCUCUUUGAAUAAAGAUUUCUGCUCUGCCCACAACCCAACGAGCUGCUCUUGAGAAGUUUACUGAUGUCUGAAGCUUGCCAGAGGAGCUUUAAACAGACUUGAUGGAGUAAUCUCUUGACCUGUGCAGUGACAGAGACAGGCACCCUCAGAGCUGUUCGAAAAUGAGAAUGAUUCCUCUGGCGAAAAGCCAUUUGCAUCUUGCUGUUUAAUGAGCCCCCAGAUGUCUUGGAUGUUAAUGACCUUCCCCAGUGCCCUCAGAAGAAGGGACAUGCAGGGUCUGGGGAAUCAGCUUCGUUGAUACCCAGAGAAUCAUUCAUCGAAAAAAAUCAAUCUAUACGUACAUACAUAUUCCUGGCAGAUGUUAAAGCAUCAAGACUUCAGGGAAAAUGCUCUCUUCUACAAGUGUCUUGCGAUGACUUGCCCGCUGAUGUGAGAUGCCAAUCAACUUGCUGUCCCUGGGAACCCUCUAAUAUAGAAUGACUGAUUUCAUUUAUGUUUCUCUUGAAAGAUCCAAAUAAAUAGGUGUCUCAGGGAAGGAUAGGUGGCACAGUAACAGGUGUCAUUAAAACAGCUGUCAUCUUUGCAGAGAGCAGUGAAAGGUUAUUAUAAGGUAACAUUAAUACAAAUAAAAAUUUCAAGGGAGACAGGUUUGAUGGUGUCUGGUACAAUGGGUGUGGUUUGUUGUUCUUCAUUCAUGCUUGCUAAAUAUUUUACAUGUCAGAAUCACCUUCCAGCAGGUGGUUACCUUCAUGCUGUCUGUGUUUACUAUCCCAAGCCUUUCCCAGAUCUGCUUUUCUUAAUACCUAUACUUGCCCUCACUAGCGCAUAUUCUAUUGCUGUAAAAAAAUAUGCUUCUGAGUAUGAUCCCUGUCUAGGGAUGUUAGUGACAAACUGCUAAAAGCCAGAUCAUGUGGAUUGAGCUGCGGUCUUUUAACUCUAUUCACAGAGCAGAAGCUAUGUGGGGGAAAGGAAAGGGUAGGUGGAGCAAUUGCGUGGUGUUUAGCUUUAGAGUUGUGAAGCACAUAUUGUCUCUACCUGAGCCCACUCCAGCAGCGUGCCAGUAUCAAAAACAGUGGGACCUGAAUGACAGAGUAAUUAAUUAAUUAAUUGAACUAAACUGACCCUUGAAGAAAAGGUCUCACUACUGUUGAUAAUUUUAGAAAAUGAUGGAAGUCUGUAUACUGUUGUAAUGUUUCUGGGAACUUGAUACAAAUAUAGGCAAGUAGGACCCUUGGUUUGUCAGUUUUGAGAAGCAAACAAG